UACAGAGGUCUCAAGCGUUGUUCGGAUUCAUUGGGCGUAAAGGGUGCGUAGGCGGCGCGGUAAGUCGGGUGUGAAAUCUUGGAGCUUAACUCCGAAACUGCAUUCGAUACUGCCGUGCUUGAGGACUGGAGAGGAGACUGGAAUUUACGGUGUAGCGGUGAAAUGCGCAGAUAUCGGGAGGAACACCUGUGGCGAAAGCGGCGCACUGGACCAUAACUGACGCUGAGGCGCGAAAGCUAGGGGAGCAAACAGG
rnacentral:rRNA from 1 species